UACGAAGGGGGCUAGCGUUGCUCGGAAUCACUGGGCGUAAAGGGUGCGUAGGCGGGUCUUUAAGUCAGGGGUGAAAUCCUGGAGCUCAACUCCAGAACUGCCUUUGAUACUGAGGAUCUUGAGUUCGGGAGAGGUGAGUGGAACUGCGAGUGUAGAGGUGAAAUUCGUAGAUAUUCGCAAGAACACCAGUGGCGAAGGCGGCUCACUGGUCCGCAACUGACGCUGAGGCGCGAAAGCGUGGGGAGCAAACAGG
rnacentral:rRNA from 1 species